rnacentral:rRNA from 1 species
GACGAACCGUGCAAACGUUAUUCGGAAUCACUGGGCUUAAAGGGCGCGUAGGCGGCAUAGCAAGUCCGGGGUGAAAGCCCCCGGCUCAACCGGGGAAGUGCCUUGGAAACUGCUGUGCUCGAGGGAGGUAGGGGUCGAGGGAACUUCUGGUGGAGCGGUGAAAUGCGUUGAUAUCAGAAGGAACGCCGGUGGCGAAAGCGCUCGACUGGACCUUUUCUGACGCUGAGGCGCGAAAGCUAGGGGAGCAAACGGG